CCUACGGGAGGCAGCAGUGAGGAAUAUUGGUCAAUGGACGAGAGUCUGAACCAGCCAAGUAGCGUGAAGGAUGACUGCCCUAUGGGUUGUAAACUUCUUUUAUAAAGGAAUAAAACGAGGCACGUGUGCCGUUUUGCAUGUACUGUAUGAAUAAGGAUCGGCUAACUCCGUGCCAGCAGCCGCGGUAAUACGGAGGAUCCGAGCGUUAUCCGGAUUUAUUGGGUUGAAAGGGAGCGUAGAGGGGUUGUUAAGUCAGUUGUGAAAGUUUUCGGCUCAACCGUAAAAUUGCAAUUGAUACUGGCAGUCUUGAGUACAGUUGAGGUAGGCGGAAUUCGUGUUGUAGCGGUGAACUGCUUAGAUCUCACG
rnacentral:rRNA from 1 species